rnacentral:lncRNA from 1 species
AACGGGGCUGAUCACCCUCCGUGCCCGUAAGUUAUGACGGUUUGCGGAUGAAUUUCUGCUAAACCUUUUCGAAAAUGAAAAACAAUGUUCAUAGUAUGUUUCUUAAACCCUAUUCAUGGGUGGAGCCUAAUUUCAAGAAAUUGAAAGAGAGUUGUUAUGUGAAUCUUUUAUCAGUACAGAUUACUUCACAACUUUUGAUUCGUUGUAGAAGUGUUAUGUAAAGAGAAUACUUAUAUUCUUUCAGCUUAUAUUUAUAAUUGCUAUUACUUGCUGGGCACUCAAAUGCUUAUCCUUGCUUAAAUUAAAUGUUUUCAGUUACGUACGAUCGACCUGAAGGCUCAGGCACGAACAAGGGAAAAGAAAAGCUAUUCGAAUGAGAUUUAGUAUGAGUUAAUGGUUAUAGUUAGUAAGACAAUGGAAUCUAUUGUCAGAUAUUGUAAGGAAUGUAUUUGAAGGUCACGUACCUGGGGAAGUAAACUUUGAUGUAUGUAAAUUAAGUUCGAAUGUAUUAUUAUUUAGUAUUAUUCAGCUUAAAGAAAUGGUAUCGUGGAGAACCGAGUUCGGGUUUCAAGUAUCCGGAUUUGGGGUCGCCACAC